rnacentral:rRNA from 1 species
AGAGUUUGAUCCUGGCUCAGGACGAACGCUGGCGGCGUGCCUAAUACAUGCAAGUAGAACGCUGAAGGAGGAGCUUGCUUCUCUGGAUGAGUUGCGAACGGGUGAGUAACGCGUAGGUAACCUGCCUGGUAGCGGGGGAUAACUAUUGGAAACGAUAGCUAAUACCGCAUAAGAGUGGAUGUUGCAUGACAUUUGCUUAAAAGGUGCACUUGCAUCACUACCAGAUGGACCUGCGUUGUAUUAGCUAGUUGGUGGGGUAACGGCUCACCAAGGCGACGAUACAUAGCCGACCUGAGAGGGUGAUCGGCCACACUGGGACUGAGACACGGCCCAGACUCCUACGGGAGGCAGCAGUAGGGAAUCUUCGGCAAUGGACGGAAGUCUGACCGAGCAACGCCGCGUGAGUGAAGAAGGUUUUCGGAUCGUAAAGCUCUGUUGUAAGAGAAGAACGAGUGUGAGAGUGGAAAGUUCACACUGUGACGGUAUCUUACCAGAAAGGGACGGCUAACUACGUGCCAGCAGCCGCGGUAAUACGUAGGUCCCGAGCGUUGUCCGGAUUUAUUGGGCGUAAAGCGAGCGCAGGCGGUUAGAUAAGUCUGAAGUUAAAGGCUGUGGCUUAACCAUAGUAGGCUUUGGAAACUGUUUAACUUGAGUGCAAGAGGGGAGAGUGGAAUUCCAUGUGUAGCGGUGAAAUGCGUAGAUAUAUGGAGGAACACCGGUGGCGAAAGCGGCUCUCUGGCUUGUAACUGACGCUGAGGCUCGAAAGCGUGGGGAGCAAACAGGAUUAGAUACCCUGGUAGUCCACGCUGUAAACGAUGAGUGCUAGGUGUUAGACCCUUUCCGGGGUUUAGUGCCGUAGCUAACGCAUUAAGCACUCCGCCUGGGGAGUACGACCGCAAGGUUGAAACUCAAAGGAAUUGACGGGGGCCCGCACAAGCGGUGGAGCAUGUGGUUUAAUUAGAAGCAACGCGAAGAACCUUACCAGGUCUUGACAUCCCUCUGACCGCUCUAGAGAUAGAGCUUUCCUUCGGGACAGAGGUGACAGGUGGUGCAUGGUUGUCGUCAGCUCGUGUCGUGAGAUGUUGGGUUAAGUCCCGCAACGAGCGCAACCCCUAUUGUUAGUUGCCAUCAUUUAGUUGGGCACUCUAGCGAGACUGCCGGUAAUAAACCGGAGGAAGGUGGGGAUGACGUCAAAUCAUCAUGCCCCUUAUGACCUGGGCUACACACGUGCUACAAUGGCUGGUACAACGAGUCGCAAGCCGGUGACGGCAAGCUAAUCUCUUAAAGCCAGUCUCAGUUCGGAUUGUAGGCUGCAACUCGCCUACAUGAAGUCGGAAUCGCUAGUAAUCGCGGAUCAGCACGCCGCGGUGAAUACGUUCCCGGGCCUUGUACACACCGCCCGUCACACCACGAGAGUUUGUAACACCCGAAGUCGGUGAGGUAACCGUAAGGAGCCAGCCGCCUAAGGUGGGAUAGAUGAUUGGGGUGAAGUCGUAACAAGGUAGCCGUAUCGGAAGGUGCGGCUGGAUCACCU